rnacentral:lncRNA from 1 species
UGAGGAGAGCAUUCUCCGGUCACAUGGCUGGAGGGCUCCUGGUUCUUGUUACAUAUUUACAGUUGGCAGAAGCUGUUCAUGUGAAUUAUAUCAGAUACAGAAACAUUCACUGUGAAUUAUUCUAAAGCCAGUGCUUUUGUUCAUGUGAGUUAUCAAAGUAACUCUCCAGUCAUUAAAAAUCUUAUUCCUUGAAAUAAAUAGGUUCCCAAAGUUGGAGGAGGGGGGGAA